rnacentral:rRNA from 1 species
CAGCAGCCGCGGGAAUACAGAGGGUGCGAGCGUUAAUCGGAUUUACUGGGCGUAAAGCGUGCGUAGGCGGCUUUUUAAGUCGGAUGUGAAAUCCCUGAGCUUAACUUAGGAAUUGCAUUCGAUACUGGGAAGCUAGAGUAUGGGAGAGGAUGGUAGAAUUCCAGGUGUAGCGGUGAAAUGCGUAGAGAUCUGGAGGAAUACCGAUGGCGAAGGCAGCCAUCUGGCCUAAUACUGACGCUGAGGUACGAAAGCAUGGGGAGCAAACAGGAUUAGAUACCCCGGUAGUCCCUGUCUCUUAUCC